rnacentral:rRNA from 1 species
UACGUAGGGUGCAAGCGUUAUCGGAAUUACUGGGCGUAAAGCGUGCGCAGGCGGCUUUGCAAGACAGAUGUGAAAUCCCCCGGGCUCAAGCCUGGGAACCUGCAUUUGUGACUGCAAGGCUAGAGUACGGUAGAGGGGGAUGGAAUUCCGCGGUGUAGCAGUGAGAUGCGUAGAUAUGCGGAGGAACACCGAUGGCGAAGGCAGCUCGCUGGGACGGUACUGACGCUG